GACGAACCGUGCGAACGUUGUUCGGAAUCACUGGGCUUAAAGGGCGCGUAGGCGGCUUGCCAAGUCCGGGGUGAAAUCCUCCAGCUCAACUGGAGAAGUGCCUUGGAUACUGGCGAGCUCGAGUGAGGUAGGGGCAGAUGGAACUUCCGGUGGAGCGGUGAAAUGCGUUGAUAUCGGAAGGAACGCCGGUGGCGAAAGCGAUCUGCUGGACCUCUUCUGACGCUGAGGCGCGAAAGCCAGGGGAGCGAACGGG
rnacentral:rRNA from 1 species